rnacentral:tRNA from 1 species
AGUUAAAAACUUUAAAUAAAGUGUAAUGUUUUGAAAACAUUAAAAAGAAGUUUAAUUCUUCUAUUAACUU